UCAAGCGCGUAAGAGCAUUUGGUGGAUGCCUUGGCAUAAAGAGGCGAUGAAGGACGUGACAGACUGCGAUAAGCUCGGACUUGCUGUCAAUAAGCUUAAUCCGAGAUCUCCGAAUGGGGAAACCCAAUAACUUAUAAGUGAAUUCAUAGCUUAUAAGGGCGAACCUAGGGAACUGAAACAUCUAAGUACCUAGAGGAAAAGAUAUUCCGUUAGUAGUGGCGAGCGAAAGCGGAUCAGGCCAGUGCUACUUUUUACUAAACCAGAACUGUAUGGAAAGGCAGGCCAUAGUGAGUGAUAGCCUCGUAUGGGUAGAUAGUAAAAAAUAGACAUGAGUAGGGCGGGACACGUGAAAUCCUGUCUGAAUAUAGGAAGACCACUUCCUAAGCCUAAAUACUACUUUAUGACCGAUAGUGAACCAGUACCGUGAGGGAAAGGCGAAAAGAACCCCUAGCAGGGGAGUGAAAUAGACCCUGAAACCGGAUGCUUACAAGCAGUUGGAGCCUCUUUAUGAGGUGACAGCGUACCUUUUGUAUAAUGGGUCAGCGACUUAAUCUCAUUAGCAAGCUUAAGCCACAUAGGUGUAGGCGAAGCGAAAGCGAGUCUGAAUAGGGCGAUUUAGUUAAUGGGAUUAGACUCGAAACCGAGUGAUCUAGUCAUGAGCAGGUUGAAAGUGAAGUAAAAUUCACCGGAGGACCGAACCCACUAGCGUUGAAAAGCUACGGGAUGACUUGUGAUUAGGGGUGAAAGGCCAACCAAACUCGGAAAUAGCUAGUUCUCCGCGAAAACUAUUUAGGUAGUGCGUCGUGUGAAUCUUGUCGGGGGUAGAGCACUGAAUGGGCUAGGGGGAAGCAAUUCCUACCAAACCUAAUCAAACUCCGAAUACCGAUAAGUCUGCACGGCAGACAGUCCAUGGGUGCUAAGGUCCUUGGACGAGAGGGAAACAGCCCAGAUCAACAGCUAAGGUCCCCAAAUAAUGAUUAAGUGUGAAAGGGAGUGGGAACUCCAAGACAGCCAGGAGGUUGGCUUAGAAGCAGCCAUCCUUUAAAGAAAGCGUAACAGCUCACUGGUCUAAUUAAGAGAUCCUGCACCGAAAAUGUAACGGGGCUCAAAUCAUUUACCGAAGCUUUGACAAUUACUUUGUAAUUGGGUAGCGGAGCGUUCUGUAAGCCUGUAAAGGUGAUGCGUAAGCAUUGCUGGAGGUAUCAGAAGUGCGAAUGCUGACAUGAGUAACGAUAAGAAAUGUGAAAGACAUUUCCGCCGAAAUCCUAAGGUUUCCUGCGUAAAGCUAAUCUGCGCAGGGUUAGUCGGCCCCUAAGGCGAGGGCGAAAGCCGUAGUCGAUGGGAAGCAGGUUAAUAUUCCUGCACCAGCUGGUAGUGACGGAUGAAGUAAAUUGUAAGUUCUUACUGGAUUGAGCUUGCAGUGAAUUUGUCCCUGGAAAUAGCUCCAGCAUUAGACCGUACCAAAACCGACACAGGUAGGAGGGUAGAGAAUACCAAGGCGCUUGAGAGAACUAUGUUGAAGGAACUCGGCAAAUUACACUUGUAACUUCGGGAUAAAAGUGACCUGCUAUUGGGCAACCAGUAGGAGGUGGCACAGAAGAGGGGGUAGCGACUGUUUACUAAAAACAUAGCACUAUGCAAAGUCGAAAGACGACGUAUAUGGUGUGACGCCUGCCCGGUGCCGGAAGGUUAAUAGGAGGGGUGCAAGCCCUGAAUUGAAGCCCCGGUGAACGGCGGCCGUAACUAUAACGGUCCUAAGGUAGCGAAAUUCCUUGUCGGGUAAGUUCCGACCUGCACGAAUGGCGUAACGAUUUCCCCACUGUCUCCAACAUAGACUCAGUGAAAUUGAAUUCUCGGUUAAGAUGCCGAGUAACCGUGGUUAGACGGAAAGACCCCGUGCACCUUUACUGCAGCUUUGUAUUGGUAUUAGGGAACAGAUGUGUAGCAUAGGUGGGAGACUUUGAAGGAGUGGCGCUAGCCAUUCUGGAGUCACUAGUGAAAUACCACUCUUCUGUUCCUUGAUGCCUAACCAUACACCGUUAUCCGGUGUUGGGACCAUGCAUGGUGGGCAGUUUGACUGGGGCGGUCGCCUCCCAAAGAGUAACGGAGGCGCGCGAUGGUAGGCUCAG
rnacentral:rRNA from 1 species